UGUGAGCUCACCAGGUUCACCUGCCCUCUUUCUGUCACACACACACAAACCUGAAUCAGAACUGGCUGAGGGAGAGUACUCUAAAGAGCCCUUGCCUGGCCCCAGGACACCGAUGCAGCUCUGUCUCUGACAGGGAGACACUUCUGUCACCAUCUGGCUUUAAUCUUAGGAGAAUCUAAAGAUGCAAGGAAGCCGACUGCCAGCAGGUGUGCAAGCUUCCAGUGACGAACUGCAGCCAGGUGCACCGUGUGUGAUCCCCAUGCAUACGUGAGGAAACUGGAGCUCAAAGAAGAGAACUCACCUGAUGAAGGUCUUGGAGCAAGCUAACACAGCUUGCGUGUGAACCAAAGGCUGUGAAGUCACACGUGGGUUUCGACAUGUUAAGGUCCUGAAAGCUUGAGGCUACUGGGAGGCCGUGAAACUUCUACUACUAGUACAACACACUUGUAGGGAAAGUAUGGUCCACUCUUCUAGGGAUGAGGAAAGCCCCACUAUGCAAGAUGCCCUAAGGAGAGUAGUGCUCUGCUAUUGUGCCCUUCUGACUUGGUAUUUCCACUCAGGAGCAACCGACCAUGAACUGAAAUGUCUGAAACCAUAAGUCAAACUAAAUCUUUGCUCCUCAAAGUUGUUUUUCUCAAGUAUUCAGUCAGAGGCUGAAAGUGGAUUAAGAUACCUCCCUCAUCAUCACAUUUUGGAAGCAAGUAACUUGCAGGUUCACAGCAGGAAAGGAAUUACCUGGAUUUCAUUGUUCCCUGAGUUUCAUCUACAUCUAAUUUAGUUAGCUAGAUGAGACUUUGGACUUGAGACUUUAAAGUGGACCCUGGAAUUAAGAAUUUUGGGACAGUUGAGAUAGGAUAAAUGAAUUUAGCAAGCAAAAAAGCCCAUGAAUUUUGGACAACCAGGGUAGAAUAUUACAGACUGAAUGUUUGUCUUUUCCCCAAAUUCCUUUGUUAAAGCCCUAUUCCCCCACCUCAUGGCUACAAGUGGAGGUAAGACUCAAGGGAAGCAAUUUAGUUUAAAUGAGGUCAUAAGAGUAGGUCUUCCUGUCCCAGGAUGAGUGGACUUAACAGAAGUGACACCAGAGACACCACCUAUUUGUGUUGCUGUUCUUGAGUGGACUUAGGGCCAUUGCUAACAAAGUACCUCUCUGCAAACCAGGAAGAGGGACCUAAAAGAAAGCAAACUCUGAAAACAUUGUUAUAGGAUUCCCAGCUUCCAGAACUGUGAGAAGGAAAUUUCUGUUGUUUAUGGCCCCGUUGAGUGGCCAUCUCUUUUGGCAGCCUGAAGAGAUUCACACAGUGAAUUUUACCAAUAAGUGAAUGUUCAUGUAAUCCUAGACAUGGGUCAGAGGCAUACUUGCUUUCCUGUAACAUUAUUCAACAUAAUUUAGAGGGAGUCUGUGGCUCAAAAUUCCUUGUGUGCUUUGAUGUCUAAGUGUUUUUAAAUUCUAUGAUCAAGAAUUAUUGGGGCUGAGGAUUUAGCUCAGUGGUUCCUC